rnacentral:rRNA from 1 species
GGCGGAGGAUGGAAGCGUUAUCCGGAAUUAUUGGGCGUAAAGCGUCCGUAGGUGGCCUAUCAAGUCUGCUGUUAAAUCACAGGGCUCAACUCUGGAUCAGCAGUGGAAACUGAUAAGCUAGAGUGCGGUAGGGGCAGAGGUAAUUCCCGGUGUAGCGGUGUAAUGCGUAGAUAUCGGGAAGAACACCAGUGGCGAAGGCGCUCUGCUGGGCCGUAACUGACACUCAUGGACGAAAGCUAGGGGAGCGAAAGGG